rnacentral:rRNA from 1 species
GUCAAGAAUCUUCCUCAAUGGACGAAAGUCUGAAGGAGCGACGCCGCGUGUAUGAAGAAGCCUUUCGAGGUGUAAAAUACUUUUAACUGUGACGAAACAAUGACGGUAACAGUUGAAUAAGGGGCUGCUAACCUCGUGCCAGCAGCAGCGGUAAUACGAGGGCCCCAAGCAUUAUCCGGAUUUAUUGGGCGUAAAGCGUCCGUAGGUGGUUUACCGCAUCUCCUGUUAAAUCUUGAGGCUCAACCUUAAGUCCGCGGGAGAGAUGGGUAGACUAGAGACUGGAAGAGGCAAACGGAAUUGCUGGUGUAGGGGUUAAAUCCAUUAAUAUCAGCAAGAACACCAAAUGCGAAGGCAGUUUGCUAGGACAGUUCUGACACUCAGUGGACGAAAGCGUGGGGAGCGAAUGGGAUUAGAUACCCCGGUAGUCCA